ensembl:lncRNA
CUGUCUGGAGAGAGGGGUGGAGGAGGAGCUUGUUCUGUCUGUCUGGAGAGAGGGGCGGAGGAGGAGCUUGUUCUGUCUGUCAGGAGAGAGGGGUGGAGGAGGAGCUUGUUCUGUCUGUCUGGAGAGAGGGGGGUGGGAGGAGCUUGUUCUGUCUGUCUGGGGAGAAGGGCGGAGAAGGAGCUUAUUCUGUCUGUCUGGAGAGAGGGGCGGAGGAGGAGCUUGUUCUGUCUGUCUGGUGAGAGGGGCGGAGGAGGAGCUUGUUCUGUCUGUCUGGUGAGAGGGGUGGAGGAGGAGCUUGUUCUGUCUGUCUGGUGAGAGGGGCGGAGGAGGAGCUUGUUCUGUCUGUCUGGUGAGAGGGGCAGAGGAGGAGCUUGUUCUGUCUGUCUGGAGAGAGGGGCGGAGGAGGAGCUUGUUCUGUCUGUCUGCUGGAGGGGUGGAGGAGGAGCUUGUUCUGUCUGUCUGGAGAGAGGGGUGGAGGAGGAGCUUGUGCUGUCUGUCUGGUGAGAGGGGCGGAGGAGGAGCUUGUUCUGUCUGUCUGGUGAGAGGGGCAGAGGAGGAGAUUGUUCUGUAUGUCUGGAGAGGGGGGCGGAGGAGGAGCUUGUUCUGUCUGUCUGGUGAGAGGGGUGGAGGAGCUUGUUCUGUCUGUCUGGAGAGUGGGGCAGAGGAGGAGCUUGUUCUGUCUGUCUGGAGAGAGGGGCGGAGGAGCUUGUUCUGUCUUUCUGGAGAGAGGGGUGGAGGAGGAGCUUGUUCUGUCUGUCUGGGGAGAAGUGCGGAG